AAAAUCUCGUAACUUCUAAGUGAACCAGGCAGUUUCCAAAACCUGCCUUUUAGCUAUUAAGCUAUAAAUAUUUGAAAAAAGUAUUUACAUUGACAAAUAACUAUGAAGUUUUUAGAACUUAUGAAGAUCAUGAUGAAGAAAAAACUAUUUGUAAUAUUAUCAAAUUGCUUAUUCCUUUCUGAAGUCAUUUAUUCAAUAUCAUUUAUUUGCAGAUAAUAGGUACCAGGCAUUGAGAAAUUCAGAAUAAAUAAGAAAAUGGAAUAAACAAAGGGUUAUAAAAAAAUCUAGGAUGGGUUAUUCAUUUUAAAAGAGAAUGGGGCUUAGGUGAAAAAAAGCAAAAAUAUACACAAGGACUUGAACAUUCUAACAUAAUGAGCAAGUCAUACCCUGCCAGAUGCACGAGAGUGGAUGACAGGAUGUGCUGGAAAGGAACAUGGGAAGUACCUAAAAUGAAAAGGACCUGAAAUGCAAUUCUAAAGAUUUCGUCUAAAAGAAAUGGCAAGUUGGCAGAUAAUUUUUAAAUUCAAGUGUAAAUAAUCUGAUAAGUAUUUUAGAAAGCUGACUGGAUGGUAUAAAGAGGGUGCAUUAGAGAAGGAAAAUAUGGGUGGCAGGGAGAUCUAUGAGGGUUUUGUGAUGGGUUGAAUGGUGUCCUCCCAGGAGAUAUGUUGAAGCCCUAUUUUUGGUACCUGUGAAUAUGACUUCAUUUGGAAAUAGGAUCUUUGCAGAUGAAAUCUAGUUAAGAUGGGUUCAUUAAGGUGGGCCCUAAUUCAAUAUGACUGUUUUCCUUAUAAAAAAAGGAAAAGACGGAGAAACGGGGAGAAGAAUGCCACAUAACAAUGAAGGUAGAGAAUGGGGUUACACAGCUACAGACCAGAGAACAUGAAGGACUGUCACCAACACCACUGCUAAGAGAAGGGCACAGAACAGGUUCUCCCGCAGAGCCUUUAGAGGAAGCAAGACCCUGUCAACAGCUUUUCUGAGUUCUAGCCUUCAGAACUGUGAGAGAAUAAAUUUCAGCUUAUGGUACUUUUUAUAUGACAGCCCAAGGAAACUAACACAAGUAUUGGUGGAACACUUCUUCAACAAAUAGCACUUGAAUUAAGGCAGUGGCAGUAAAAAUGGAGAGGAGGAGGUAUGUGGUAGACCAGGGAUAUAUUUGCUAAAGGACAAACGAAGUAAUGAGACUUAGAAACAGAACGAUGGAGCCACAAAGAAUGCCUGAAAUGGUAAUAGGAUACAUGCUGGAAUGUUGAUGGGCCCCAUUUCCACAAGCCUCCAAAUCUGCUUCUAGAUCCCAUUCAAGCAAGGGAGGAUUUGUUAAGAAGAAAGGCCCUUUGAGAGCACCAGUCCCUCCACCAGCCAGUCUAGUCCUAAGAGCUCUGAAGGCCAACCUUGGAGGUGGUUCAGGAGGGAAAAUGCAGGACCCAGGAUUUCAGUUGCCAAGCCAGAGAGCAGGGGACCCAGGAAAGAAUAUUGGCAUUCAUUUGAUUUUUCCAUCUUCUGAUAUAACCUUCAAAUGUUAAUAGUGUGUCGAAGAAUUUAUUGGAAAUGAGAAACAAGAAAACAGUGAGUCUAACCUAGUCAUUCUAGAAUUGGGAGGUAAUAGAAAAGAGAGAAAUGGGAAAGUUGCUCAAAUGCAAGUCCAGUGAAUCAGAGAGAAAAGGCUCAAAGCAGCAGAACAAAGCUUCAAUAAAGAGAUAUUGUGACUUGGAGAGAUGGCCUUUUGUCCUUUGUUCUAUUACCAGUCAGAGGAUGGGGAGCACACCCGAGCCUGAGACAACAGCUCUGCUAAGUGCCCUUGAGAGGGCACGGUGGGGUCAGCACCAAAGUCAGACCACUAAAGAGAAAAAGAGAGAAAGACAGGAUUGCAGAGGAGAAAUGAGAAUGGCAGAAAAAAUAAUUUUUUAAGCCAAAAGGAAUCAGAGAAGAGCAGAAGUGCCUCUAGGAUAAAGCGUAGCAGGCAGUUAGGGAAAAAGGGCUGUUAACUACCUUGAAGCUCUGACUACAUUAGAAAGCCUCGCAAGACAGUCGUUGCUUGCACGGGCAGGUAGAGAACUUUUCCUGUCCAUUGUUCUUCUGAAUUAUAAAUCACUGACCUCUUUAUGAUUUCUAAAGGGAAAAUGACUUCAAGCUUCUUAGAGUUCCCCUAAGGCAUUCUCUAUAUUCAAUAUAAUAUGGGAAGCCCUGGGUUUGUCUUUGUAUGUUUCAUCUGCAGUGACCUGAAAUCUUCAUAACCCUCUUCCUUUCUCCACUUAUCAACUAAGGGGUGGUUGGCAAUAAGGAUGGGUGGGAGAGAAAAAAAAACAGAAUUUGAGGAGGAGAGCAUUUAAACCAUCAGACUGUGUGUUCUGUGACAUCAAAGACUGGCAACAUUCUAAAGGAAAAGCAGCUGUGAAGUCAUAAUUAUGUUCACUUCCCACUGGCAACUGGCAAGCCCUUUAUUUUUGUGCAUUCGGAACUCACCAAGAAUAAAUAAAGUCCAUUCCCUCCUUGAGGGGCUAUUCUGCCAUUCCAUCUAGGAUUUAAAAGUUUGCCAAUUCCUAAAACAUCUAUUGUUAUCAAUAGUCUUGUGUCUUUCACAAAGCGGACUUUACAAAAUAAGUUAACAGGCCAUGAGAGGAACAGUCACACAUACCAAGAAAGGUACAUACGGAGAUAAUUCCAAUCAAAGUGAGCACAGCCUACGCAUAAACAGGAUUUUCCAAGAAAAAAGCAUUAAAGUGCCAUAGAAUAUUAAAGAGCAAUUAAAAGAAUGAAGAUCUCUUCAUAUGCUGGAUAGGCGGAGUGACCCAGCAAUCAUAUGGACACCAUCCAUUCCAGUGACACUCAAACUUCAGCGUGCAUCAGAAUCCCUGCAAGGCUUGCUAAGACACAGACUGCUGCGCCUACCUCAGAGUUCCUGAUUCAUCAAGCUUGAAGUUAGAAGGAUUUCUCUACAGUUCUUUCUCUUUUUUCCAAUCUCUUCUGGAUGUUUCUUCGUCUCAAACUACACAGACAUUGUGGAAAUCAGUAUCUUCAUUUCAAGUCUAGGUGGGUCAAAUUUGAUUCUCUUGUAUUUUCACUCUUAAAAUAGCAUCUUGAACUUUCAUCUGUGAUCCAUCUAUAAGGAUCAAAUGUAAGGACUUCAAGAGGGCAUCUGCCCAAUAAUUUCUGUAUACCCAGUACAGCAAACAGGGUGGUAUUGUUGAUGUGUACUCAGUGCAUACAAUAGUAUAGUAGUGUUGUAUAUGCUUUGCAGAGAGUAGCGUUAUUGUUGUAUCAGCACAUAGGACAGGACAGUUUUAUUGCAACAUAACCAAAACAUAGGUUAAAUGUUAACGUUGUUGUAUACCCAGUGCAUAGAACAACAUAAAAUUGUUGUUAUAUGUUCAAUGCAAACCACAGAGUAGAAUGCUCAAUUUUUGUUGAAUGACAUAAAUGAAUUAAAUGGACACAGCAUCACCUACAUGCCUCACCUACAAAGGCCUAACUUGUAAUGGGAUUACUAUUGUUGUUUUAAUAAAUUAAGCAAUGAAUGUAGUUUCAAAAAGUACUUAGCUUUAUUUUUCAACACAGUAAAUAUGAAUAUAACCCAUAUCAGUAAAAGUUGUUUGGGGUCUUCAAUGACAUCUUAAGACUAUAAAGAGGUCCUGACACCAAAAGGGGGAGAAGCACCGCAAUCUUGCAUGCUCCUGGUUCCUGAGAGGUCCAUAUUGCAGUCUGCCAUACUGUUGUAUUUCCAGUACUUACAUGGUGUUUUGGCAAAACCUGAGCAUGUGUUGUCAAGUGGCUGAUGAGGAUGUGAUUCUGAGAAAGGCACCACGAGAUAAAAGAUAUGAAUCUCAGCUGGGCGCGGUGGCCCACACCUAUAAUCCCAACACUUCAGGAGGCUGAGGCGGGCAGAUCAUGAGGU
rnacentral:lncRNA from 1 species